AUUGAACGCUGGCGGCAGGCCUAACACAUGCAAGUCGAACGGUAACAGGAAGCAGCUUGCUGCUUUGCUGACGAGUGGCGGACGGGUGAGUAAUGUCUGGGAAACUGCCUGAUGGAGGGGGAUAACUACUGGAAACGGUAGCUAAUACCGCAUAACGUCGCAAGACCAAAGAGGGGGACCUUCGGGCCUCUUGCCAUCGGAUGUGCCCAGCUGGGUAUAGCUAGUAGGUGGGGUAACGGCUCACCUAGGCGACGAUCCCUAGCUGGUCUGAGGGGAUGAACAGCGACUCUGGAGCUGACACGCGGUCCAGGCUCCUACGGGAGGCAGCGGUGGGGACUAUUGCACACUGGGCGCAAGCCUGAUGCAGCCAUGCCGCGUGUAUGAAGAAGGCCUUCGGGUUGUAAAGUACUUUCAGCGGGGAGGAAGGGAGUAAAGUUAAUACCUUUGCUCAUUGACGUUACCCGCAGAAGAAGCACCGGCUACCUCCGU
rnacentral:rRNA from 1 species